rnacentral:rRNA from 1 species
UACGAAGGGGGCUAGCGUUGCUCGGAAUCACUGGGCGUAAAGCGUGCGUAGUCGGUUAUUUAAGUCGGGCGUGAAAGCCCCGGGCUCAACCUGGGAAUUGCGUUCGAUACUGGAUAGCUAGAGUUCGGCAGAGGGAAGCGGAAUUUCGGGUGUAGCGGUGAAAUGCGUAGAUAUCCGAAGGAACAUCAGUGGCGAAAGCGGCUUCCUGGACCAGAACUGACGAUCAGGCACGAAAAGCGUGGGGAGCAAACAGGG